GUAUUUUGACAUUUAUAAAAUUGUCUCAAAUACAUAGUACUUCUAGUACGUAUUACUUUGGUGAAAAAUCGAAUUGACGGUAUUUUUUCGUAAUGCUUGAAAUGAUUGAACUGUGAUGUUUGAAUUAUGCAUCAUAAUUUUGUUUUCAAAAUACAUUUGAACAUGUUGAAGUACUAGAUGAAAAAUCUUAGCUUGCACAAAUAUAAGCUUUGCUACUCCGUAGUGAUUUACUUGUGUUAUUUAAAAAAAAUCUUUUGAGUUACUCGACUCUCUAGUACUUCAAUGUAGAUAUUUCGUAUGUAUUGAAAUGGUACUGAGUUCUCGAUGGGUUUGAAGGAUUCAGGAACAUUUGUUGGAGUCUGAAGUGGGUUAUAUUCAAUUCAGAUUAUUUACAAAAGAUUCAAAGUUCAUUUACAUUGCCAAUUUAUAUCAGAAACUGUGAAAUUAGACAUACAGUUAGUAUAGUUGUGACAUUCUCCGGAAUUGUGUAGCAAACAAUAAAGUGAUAUUUUACAACUUAUUUUUGUUUUUAUUUUCCCAAACAAGCAAGUCACAAAUGGCUUAGCAAUUAUCUAACAUAUCUUCCCAUCAUUAUUUCAGAUUUCAAACAAUACUUCAGCGAACUGGAACAGGUUACCACAAAGAAGCCCACUACCAUUACCCUGGACAACCAAGAGUUGGAUUUCGUGCCCGGUCAGCGUGGUACCAGUUUGCUCCGGAUCAACAACUAUUUCUACGCCAGAAAUAACAAAUCACAAAACUCGACCUACUGGGUGUGUCGUACUAGAGUGCAGCACCGGCCGUGCAAUGCCCGAGUUGUUACCACGCUGAAAAGCAACGGACUGUAUCGGAUUUUGAUCACCAAUCCGGUGCACAUCCACGAGCCGAACAAAUCCAGUGCCUAUAGAAGUGUCGAGCAGGUCAGGAAGAGACCCAAACUGUUGGCACCAAAGCCGGUGCUGGAGGAAAUUUUCACUUAUACGUUUGAUUCGGACUAGAACUGGAAUGAGUUACAGGAAAAUUAUUUUAUUUUGUUUUGGUUUUGCAACCAAAAUAAAGAUUUUUUUAAAUACUGAAAGUGCCAUAACGUCAUACCAUUCAGUACAACCAGUACUAAUAUAAGGUGAUUCAUUACUGAUACUGAUGGAUUAUGCAGUACUAGAAUAUACUUAAGUUUUCUAGCCGAAACUCCUACACUGUUUGCAAACUUUUGUACCCCUUAGACUGUCGUCGGUGGUUGCUUAACUGAGCUUAAUUGCAGUAGAAGAGUGAGGUGAGGCGAAUUACAAGUGUUAAAGCAACAGUCUCUGCUCGAUCUCACCACCUCAACUGGAUCAUGUUAAAAUAUACUUGUUUAGUCCGAUGAACAAUAAAAUAAAAACUACUCUGUUGAUAGAAAUGAGUUUGAUUUGACUGCUCUGAGCAUGUGCGUUACCUUCUUGAUUAUUAAACUCAUGAAAUUAUUUUUAUCGUUCUAGAUUUCAGCCUGUUUGAACUAAAUUAUGAAAUCAACCAAAAGGGCUUUCGAAGGCUGUUCAUUGAUGGGCACAGCUUCAUUCGAAAAGAGGCGCGUAAGAACACAAUUCGUUUGCGGUGUAAACACUACAAUGAUGUGCGUUACAAAUGUGCCGCCCGGGCUACGUCCAUUAAUGAGCCCAAUGGCAAACUUAUUUCCUACAAUGGCGAACACAAUCAUGGAAUCAUAGGAAACAGACAAAGACGAAGCGAUCGACAGCGAAUUGGAGCGGAAUGAUGAGCAGAAUUUUCGAAUCAAUUUGUGUUCAUCAAGUCAGAAUUAACUAUUUCCCCGAAUAAAGCUGUUUGCGAUACUGUAAAAUUGUAGUUCGUGUUUGAUUCUGAGUUGAAGACUCUGUCGUUAUACUAGAAUGCUAAUCAUUUGUAUGUUUUUCAGCAAAAAAUGACGUAGCCUAUGUGCAGACAAAACAAGGUAUACAACUAUCGAUCAAUAAUUAUUUGUUCAAACCAUGGAAAUCGGUAAACAACGUAGGAUUAUGGCAGUGUCUUCAGUUUUCUGAAUAUGACUGCCCGGUACAGGCUAGCACGGAACGAACCAAGGAUGGAAAACAAGCUCGCAUUUCAAUUCAAGGGCAGCACAAUCACCCCGUUUUCAGAGAUCAUUCCAAAAACGUCACAAUGCGACCAGUUAUGAAAACCUACAGUAGAAAAAAACUCUAAUCCUCAAAAGGAAUAUUAAAUUGCUUCUAUUUGUGGUCAACAUUGUGAAGAAAAAAUAAAUUCCCAACUUCUCUACUCAAGUCUAGCUUUCUCAGUUUAAAAGUGGCAGCACUGAUUGACACGGUUCAAACCAUUCGCUUACUAAUACAACGAAUUUCAUUUCAGUUCUUGAUGUGGACCAUCCAACCGUCCAAUACAUUGCGACCAACAAAUCGCGUAGAUUGAUGGUAAGUGGCCACUCUUUCACUCGUAAAAAGCGAACCGAGCGGUAUACAAUCUGGGAGUGUUGCCAAUCGAGACAUCUAGGAUGCAAGGCUGCGGUCACAACCUAUCUGGAGAACACCGGUGCAGUUAACAUUCGUGGAUCGCACAAUCACGCCGUCGUAACGGUACGACGGAGAUUGGGCCAGCGAAAGCAGCUGAUGGAGGAACGUCAGCGGGAGAGAAUACGUAGGAAAACUAAGAUAGAAGAAGCGUCAGCUUAACUCAUCCUGAUCUUGAAAUCCUACACAAUAUGGCGUAUUUUUCAACGAACUGCUAAUUCGAAUUGAUAUACACUGAACAAAUAAACUUAAAAUCUGUAUGUGGUAUGUGAAGUUCUAGUACUUCAUUCGUUUAAACCACACGGUCUCU